rnacentral:rRNA from 1 species
UACGAAGGGGGCUAGCGUUGCUCGGAAUCACUGGGCGUAAAGGGUGCGUAGGCGGGUCUUUAAGUCAGGGGUGAAAUCCUGGAGCUCAACUCCAGAACUGCCUUUGAUACUGAAGAUCUUGAGUUCGGGAGAGGUGAGUGGAACUGCGAGUGUAGAGGUGAAAUUCGUAGAUAUUCGCAAGAACACCAGUGGCGAAGGCGGCUCACUGGCCCGAUACUGACGCUGAGGCACGAAAGCUAGGGGAGCAAACGGG